rnacentral:rRNA from 1 species
GAUGAACGCUGGCGGCGUGCCUAAUACAUGCAGGUCGAACGAAACUUCUUUAUCACCGAGUGCUUGCACUCACCGAUAAAGAGUUGAGUGGCGAACGGGUGAGUAACACGUGGGCAACCUGCCCAAAAGAGGGGGAUAACACUUGGAAACAGGUGCUAAUACCGCAUAACCAUAGUUACCGCAUGGUAACUAUGUAAAAGGUGGCUAUACUACCGCUUUUGGAUGGGCCCGCGGCGCAUUAGCUAGUUGGUAGGGUAAAGGCUUACCAAGGCAAUGAUGCGUAGCCGAAUUGAGAGGUUGAUCGGCCACAUUGGGACUGAGACACGGCCCAAACUCCUACGGGAGGCAGCAGUAGGGAAUCUUCCACAAUGGGCGAAAGCCUGAUGGAGCAACGCCGCGUGGGUGAAGAAGGUCUUCGGAUCGUAAAACCCUGUUGUUAGAGAAGAAAGUGCGUGAGAGUAACUGUUCACGUUUCGACGGUAUCUAACCAGAAAGCCACUGCUAACUACGUG